UAAAGAUGAAGAUUUUGUGCUGUUUUUUAUAAUAAUUGCUGAGUGCUGUUGAGAAGAGCUGCUGUUGAGUCUGAUAUCAGUGUAAUGAAGCACUGUGGUACACUUUUGGUGGAGGAACUAAACUGACCAUCAGAACUGGUCCCGCAGUGAAGCCCUCCGUGUCUCUGCUGCCUCCCUCUUCUCUGCAGAUCUCUGGAGACUCAGCCGCACUGCUCUGUCUGCUCAGCUCUUACUCUCCACAGGGGGCGCAGGUGAGCUGGACGCUGGACGGGUCAGAGGUCACCGAGGGGGUUCAGACCAGCGCAGAGAGCGAGCGGGACGGACGCUACAGCCGCAGCAGCGUCCUG